GACGAACGCUGGCGGCAUGCCUAACACAUGCAAGUCGAGCGAGCAGAUCCCUUCGGGGUGAAGCUAGCGGCGGACGGGUGAGUAACACGUGGGCAACCUGCCUCAUGGAGGGGAAUAGCCUUCCGAAAGGAAGAUUAAUACCGCAUAAGAUUGUAGCUUCGCAUGAAGUAGCAAUUAAAGGAGCAAUCCGCUAUGAGAUGGGCCCGCGGCGCAUUAGCUAGUUGGUGAGGUAACGGCUCACCAAGGCGACGAUGCGUAGCCGACCUGAGAGGGUGAUCGGCCAGAUUUGGACGGAGGCACGGCCCAGACUCCUACGGGAGGCAGCAGUGGGGAAUAUUGCACAAUGGGGGAAACCCUGAUGCAGCAAUGCCGCGUGAGUGAUGACGGCCUUCGGGUUGUAAAGCUCUGUCUUCGGGGACGAUAAUGACGGUACCCGAGGAGGAAGCCACGGCUAACUACGUGCCAGCAGCAGCCGUAA
rnacentral:rRNA from 1 species